CCCGUGUUUAUUUACCUUGUUGCUUCGGCGAGCCUGCCUUUUGGCUGCCGGGGGACGUCAGUCCCCGGGUCCGUGCUCGCCGGAGACACCUUAGAACUCUGUCUGAAGAUUGUAGUCUGAGAUUAAAUAUAAAUUAUUUAAAACUUUCAACAACGGAUCUCUUGGUUCCGGCAUCGAUGAAGAACGCAGCGAAAUGCGAUACGUAAUGUGAAUUGCAGAAUUCAGUGAAUCAUCGAGUCUUUGAACGCACAUUGCGCCCUCUGGUAUUCCGGAGGGCAUGCCUGUCCGAGCGUCAUUGCUGCCCUCAAGCACGGCUUGUGUGUUGGGCCCCGUCCUCCUUCCGGGGGACGGGUCCGAAAGGCAGCGGCGGCACCGCGUCCGGUCCUCAAGCGUAUGGGGCUUUGUCACUCGCUUUGUAGGCCUGGCCGGCGCUUGCCGAUCAACCAAACUUUUUAUCAGGUUGACCUCGGAUCAGG
rnacentral:rRNA from 1 species